UUCCUGAGCUUCAGCUGUUAUGUCAGUUCUUUGAUAUACGCAUGUGGCGCCCUUUGUGGCUAAAUGAAAUGAAAUCAUUAGUAAAACAUAAUCAAUAUUCAUAAUAUACACUUUUACUAUCUUGCCUGCUGAAGAGGCGUUAGAAAUUUAUGCUUUUUUUAACUAUACUAAGAAGUUUUGAGUUGAUGUUGUUUUCAAUAUUGAAAAAUAGGGAAAAAUUCUGAAGAAGUAUAAAAAAACGGAUACCUAAUUCCUCUA